GAUGAACGCUGGCGGCGUGCCUAAUACAUGCAAGUCGAGCGAACGGACGAGAAGCUUGCUUCUCUGAUGUUAGCGGCGGACGGGAGAGUAACACGUGGAUAACCUACCUAUAAGACUGGGAUACCUUCGGGAAACCGUAGCUAAUACCGGAUAAUAUUUUGAACCGCAUGGUUCAAAAGUGAAAGACGGUAUUGCUGUCACUUAUAGAUGGAUCCGCGCUGCAUUAGCUAGUUGGUAAGGUAACGGCUUACCAAGGCAACGAUGCAUAGCCGACCUGAGAGGGUGAUCGGCCACACGGGAACUGAGGCACGGUCCAGACUCCUGCGGUGAGCAGCAGUAGGGAAUCUUCCGGGAGGGACGAGAGCGUGACAGUGCAACACGGCGUAAGGGAUGAAGGUCUUCGGAUCGGAAAACUCUGUAGUUAGUGAGGAUCAAAAGUGUAAGUAACUGUGCACAUCUUGACGGUACCUGAACAGAAAGCCACGGCUAACUACGUG
rnacentral:rRNA from 1 species